rnacentral:rRNA from 1 species
AUUGAACGCUGGCGGCAGGCCUAACACAUGCAAGUCGAACGGUAACAGGAAGCAGCUUGCUGCUUUGCCGACGAGUGGCGGACGGGUGAGUAAUGUCUGGGAAACUGCCCGAUGGAGGGGGAUAACUACUGGAAACGGUAGCUAAUACCGCAUAACGUCGCAAGACCAAAGAGGGGGACCUUAGGGCCUCUUGCCAUCGGAUGUGCCCAGAUGGGAUUAGCUAGUAGGUGGGGUAACGGCUCACCUAGGCGACGAUCCCUAGCUGGUCUGAGAGGAUGACCAGCCACACUGGAACUGAGACACGGUCCAGACUCCUACGGGAGGCAGCAGUGGGGAAUAUUGCACAAUGGGCGCAAGCCUGAUGCAGCCAUGCCGCGUGUAUGAAGAAGGCCUUCGGGUUGUAAAGUACUUUCAGCGGGGAGGAAAGGAGUAAAGUUAAUACCUUUGCUCAUUGACGUUACCCGCAGAAGAAGCACCGGCUAACUCCGUG